rnacentral:rRNA from 1 species
CUACGGGGGGCAGCAGUGGGGAAUAUUGCACAAUGGGCGAAAGCCUGAUGCAGCAACGCCGCGUGAGGGACGACGGCCUUCGGGUUGUAAACCUCUUUUAGCAGGGAAGAAGCGAAAGUGACGGUACCUGCAGAAAAAGCACCGGCUAACUACGUGCCAGCAGCCGCGGUAAUACGUAGGGUGCAAGCGUUGUCCGGAAUUAUUGGGCAUAAAGAGCUCGUAGGCGGUUUGUCGCGUCUGCUGUGAAAAUCCGAGGCUCAACCUCGGACCUGCAGUGGGUACGGGCAAACUAGAGUGCGGUAGGGGAGAUUGGAAUUCCUGGUGUAGCGGUGGUAUGCGCAGAUAUCAGGAGGAACACCAAUGGCGAAGGCAGAUCUCUGGGCCGUAACUGACGCUGAGGAGCGAAAGCGUGGGGAGCGAACAGGAUUAGAUACCCCAGUAGUC